rnacentral:rRNA from 1 species
AUUGAACGCUGGCGGAAUGCUUUACACAUGCAAGUCGAACGGCAGCACGGACUUCGGUCUGGUGGCGAGUGGCGAACGGGUGAGUAACAUAUCGGAACGUAUCCAAUAAUGGGGGAUAACUAAUCGAAAGGUUGGCUAAUACCGCAUACGCCCUACGGGGGAAAGCAGGGGAUCUUCGGACCUUGCGUUAAUGGAGCGGCUGAUAUCUGAUUAGCUAGUUGGUGAGGUAAAGGCUCACCAAGGCGACGAUCAGUAGCUGGUCUGAGAGGACGACCAGACACGCGUGAACUGAGACACGGUCCAGACUCCUACGGGAGGGAGCAGUGGGGAAUUUUGGACAAUGGGCGCAAGCCUGAUCCAGCCAUUCCGAGUGAGUGAAGAAGGCCUUCGGGUUGUAAAGCUCUUUCGCAAGGGAAGAAAACUUACUUUCUAAUAAAGAGUGAGGUUGACGGUACCUUGAUAAGAAGCACCGGCUAACUACGUGCCAGCCGCCGCCGUAA